CGGAAGCGGUAUUGCGUGUCCUACAGGGAUACAGCAGCCAAUUAUAGUGCAGGGCGUGUGUCCUGGAGCCAAUGAUAUUGGAGUAGGGCGUGUCUUGCCUAGAAAUUGCGUGGGAAUCGUAAUAACGCUUGAUGACAGGCGCGCCAAGCAGCCUUUGGUUCGUCAGAGGAGCUAAUGGUCAGAGCUAACUAGCUUUCCGUAACUAGUUAACAAAAUUUGUAGUUUCAAGCCAACAUUUCUGAAUGAGUGGAUGACUUUUGUUUAUUAUUGCAAUAUACUUUUGAGGAUGAUCAUUAUGACCUUUAAAAGUGAAUUAAAUACCAAAAAUACAACUUUUUGGAGGGACUGGACCGUCAACAUCAGCCUCCAUGGAAACGGAUCAUCUUGAGGAAUCGACCUUGUCUGCAAUUAAUCUUCAAUUUCAUUUUUCCCGUACCGGAGCCGCGUUGCGGAGCCCUGCCGAAGUAAAGCGCUGCACUGGCCUGGCUGGAGAAAGCCCACCUCUUAUUGUCAGUCAAGCAGCGGAGCAUAGUUUGUGCCGGGCCGCGGUCCAAACAGACGUGAAGCUAUUCUAUUUCCGUCUACUGCCAUGUGAGCACCACCACUGCUGCAGAUUGAAGGGGCGGGAGAAAGUCUCUGUGUAAUUGCAUACUGAGAUGUAAUUGCACGACAAGCCGCCUGCUGCUGCUGCUCCAGCUCCUCAGCCGUCAUCUGCACAAACUCCUUGACAAUGGCGUUGAGUAGCCGCCGUGCCUCGUAGUCCGUCAGCGUCACCCGCUCCGACAUGGACUCCAACGCCGGUCUGCGGCAGGUGUACGACACUCACCUGGCGGGGGCAGCUUGCGAACAGUACAUCUGGCAGAUGACCAGGGCAUAGGCGACGAGGAACGCGGAGAUCUUCAACAUAACCAUGGUCCCCCCCUGCAAGACACACACAAACACACCAUUUCUAGAAAAUCCUCAAUAUCCCUGAAAGCAUCCCACCAGGAUUGAGGGACUGCCAGUUCUGACGGGUGGGACAUGGCUACAGCGUGCGCGUGUGUGUGUGUGUGUGUGUGCGUGUGCGUGUGUGUGUGUGUCGGUGGGGAGAGGCGAAGGAUGACAAAGAGGAAGAGGAGGAGACUCCAGCUAAUUAAAUGAAAUAUACUGUGCAAAAAUAUGAAAGGGGAAAUGAACAUAAGAAUAACUGUGCUAAAAUAUUAGUUGAAUUUUUUUUGUUAAAACAACACUGCUAAAAUAUUUGUUAAAACAUAACCAUGAUAAAACUAUUAGGACGGAAUGUUUGUUCAAGCAUAACUAUGUUAUAAUAUCAGCAAACAGUUUUUGUUAAA